CGGGGUGUGGCGCAGCUUGGUAGCGCAUCUGCUUUGGGAGCAGAGGGUCGCAGGUUCAAAUCCUGUCACCCCGA
rfam:Isoptericola dokdonensis DS-3, complete genome.